AAGGGCUAAGGCAGAGUGCUGUAUAGCCCUCGAAACUGAGAUAUUUCAGGACCACACUAUGAAUGGAGGGGUAGGACAAAUUUCUCAUAAUUCUAUUCAAAUCAUCGGCAAGAUGGAGGUAAACACAGC